ensembl:lncRNA
CACCUACACAGCUAAACCCCGCCCCUUCUCUGAGCCCUGCCCUCUGAUUGGCUCACCACGGCCGCCCCUCCAGCACAGGCAACAGCAGCAGCGCCAACAGCAACCCCAGCGCGUUCACCACCGUCUCCUGCCCAGUAUAAACCAGUAUAGACCAGUAUAAAAGAGUACAGACCAGUACAGACCAGUCCCUUCUUGUCCCCCCCAGUAUAUCCCAGUAUAUCCCAGUAUGUCCCAGUCUCUCCCAGUCCCUUCCAAAGUACAGACCAGUACAGAUCAGUAUAAACCAGUAUAGACCAGUAUAAAAGAGUACAGACCAGUACAGACCAGUCCCUUCUUGUCCCCCCCAGUAUAUCCCAGUAUAUCCCAGUAUGUCCCAGUCCCUCCCAGUUCCUCCCAGUCCCUCCCAGUAUAUCCCAGUUCCAUCCCAGUCAAUCCCAGUUCCUCCCAGUCCAUCCCAAUCCCUCCCAGUUCCAUCCCAGUUCCAUCCCAGUAUAUCCCAGUUCCAUCCCAGUCCAUCCCAGUCCCUCCCAGUUCCAUCCCAGUCCCUCCCAGUAUAUCCCAGUUCCAUCCCAGUCAAUCCCAGUUCCUCCCAGUCCAUCCCAAUCCCUCCCAGUUCCAUCCCAGUUCCAUCCCAGUAUAUCCCAGUUCCAUCCCAGUCCAUCCCAGUCCCUCCCAGUUCCAUCCCAGUCCCUCCCAGUAUAUCCCAGUUCCAUCCCAGUCAAUCCCAGUUCCUCCCAGUCCAUCCCAAUCCCUCCCAGUUCCAUCCCACUCCCUCCCAGUUCCAUCCCAGUUCCAUCCCAGUAUAUCCCAGUUCCAUCCCAGUCAAUCUCAGUUCCAUCCCAGUCCAUCCCAGUCCCUCCCAGUCCCUCCCAGUCCAUCCCACUCCAUCCCAGUCCCUCCCAGUUCCAUCCCACUCCCUCCCAGUUCCAUCCCAGUUCCAUCCCAGUAUAUCCCAGUUCCAUCCCAGUCAAUCUCAGUUCCAUCCCAGUCCAUCCCAGUCCCUCCCAGUCCCUCCCAGUCCAUCCCACUCCAUCCCAGUCCCUCCCAGUUCCAUCCCACUCCCUCCCAGUUCCAUCCCAGUUCCAUCCCAGUAUAUCCCAGUUCCAUCCCAGUCAAUCUCAGUUCCAUCCCAGUCCAUCCCAGUCCCUCCCAGUCCCUCCCAGUCCAUCCCACUCCAUCCCAGUCCCUCCCAGUUCCAUCCCACUCCCUCCCAGUUCCAUCCCAGUUCCAUCCCAGUAUAUCCCAGUUCCAUCCCAGUCAAUCUCAGUUCCAUCCCAGUCCAUCCCAGUCCCUCCCAGUCCCUCCCAGUCCAUCCCACUCCAUCCCAGUCCCUCCCAGUUCCAUCCCACUCCCUCCCAGUUCCAUCCCAGUUCCAUCCCAGUAUAUCCCAGUUCCAUCCCAGUCAAUCUCAGUUCCAUCCCAGUCCAUCCCAGUCCCUCCCAGUCCCUCCCAGUCCAUCCCACUCCAUCCCAGUCCCUCCCAGUUCCAUCCCACUCCCUCCCAGUUCCAUCCCAGUUCCAUCCCAGUAUAUCCCAGUUCCAUCCCAGUCAAUCUCAGUUCCAUCCCAGUCCAUCCCAGUCCCUCCCAGUCCCUCCCAGUCCAUCCCACUCCAUCCCAGUCCCUCCCAGUUCCAUCCCACUCCCUCCCAGUUCCAUCCCAGUUCCAUCCCAGUAUAUCCCAGUUCCAUCCCAGUCAAUCUCAGUUCCAUCCCAGUCCAUCCCAGUCCCUCCCAGUCCCUCCCAGUCCAUCCCACUCCAUCCCAGUCCCUCCCAGUUCCAUCCCACUCCCUCCCAGUUCCAUCCCAGUUCCAUCCCAGUAUAUCCCAGUUCCAUCCCAGUCAAUCUCAGUUCCAUCCCAGUCCAUCCCAGUCCCUCCCAGUCCCUCCCAGUCCAUCCCACUCCAUCCCAGUCCCUCCCAGUUCCAUCCCACUCCCUCCCAGUUCCAUCCCAGUUCCAUCCCAGUAUAUCCCAGUUCCAUCCCAGUCAAUCUCAGUUCCAUCCCAGUCCAUCCCAGUCCCUCCCAGUCCCUCCCAGUCCAUCCCACUCCAUCCCAGUCCCUCCCAGUUCCAUCCCACUCCCUCCCAGUUCCAUCCCAGUUCCAUCCCAGUAUAUCCCAGUUCCAUCCCAGUCAAUCUCAGUUCCAUCCCAGUCCAUCCCAGUCCCUCCCAGUCCCUCCCAG